rnacentral:rRNA from 1 species
UACCAGCACCCCGAGUGGUCGGGACGUUUAUUGGGCCUAACGCAUCCGUAGCCGGUUCUACAAGUCUUCCGUUAAAUCCAACUGCUUAACAGGUGGGCUGCGGAAGAUACUAUAGAGCUAGGAGGCGGGAGAGGCAAGCGGUACUCGAUGGGUAGGGGUAAAAUCCGUUGAUCCAUUGAAGACCACCAGUGGCGAAGGCGGCUUGCCAGAACGCGCUCGACGGUGAGGGAUGAAAGCUGGGGGAGCAAACCGG